rnacentral:rRNA from 1 species
UACGUAGGGUGCAAGCGUUAUCCGGAUUCAUUGGGCGUAAAGGGUGCGUAGGUGGCGCGCUAAGUCGGGUGUGAAAUUUCGGAGCUUAACUCCGAAACUGCAUUCGAUACUGGCGUGCUUGAGGACUGGAGAGGAGACUGGAAUUCAUGGUGUAGCAGUGAAAUGCGUAGAGAUCAUGAGGAAGACCAGUGGCGAAGGCGGGUCUCUGGACAGUUCCUGACACUGAGACACGAAGGCCAGGGGAGCAAACGGG